AUGCUUCGGUGCUCUUUCCUUUUUUCUUUAUUGCAGUCGUCGUUCUCAUCCAUUUUGGGAUUAGCUUUCUUUAUCUCUCAAACCCUAAAUUUUCUCCAUUUUUGAUCUCAUCUCUGUCCGCUCGCGCCGAUCAAUCGGUUUGAAAAAAUUUCCUCUCUGUCCCUGCUUGGCAUCAAAAGUUAGCUUUGCUGUGGUGGGCCACGGUCUCAAACCCUAAUUUUUCUACCUUUCUGAUCUCAUCUCUCUCUGCUCGCGCCGAUCGGUUCGUUUGUAAAAUUUCAUCUCUGUGCCGUCGUUGUCACUGCUUGGUAUCAAAAGUUGGGUUUGCUGUCUUCAGUUCCUUUUUGUUGGAAAGUGGAAGCCCCAAAUUUGAGCUCAGAGCUUUAAUUUCUCAAUCAUUCGUUUCUCUGCACUCUCAUCAGUCACUCUUGAUGCUCUCUCAGAGGAGCACUACAUAUUUAAAGGUGUUGCUGGUAUAAAAUUUUCUCAUCUAUUUGCAGACAAGUUUGGCAAAUCACAAGUACAAAGAGGUGGGGGGGGGGGGGGCGAGGAAGUUCUGUUCAAAUUUGGUUUUUCCGAUGGCUUAGGAAGAAAUUAUGUCACUAUUGAUAUUGCAGGUGUCCAGCUUGCAGAAAUUACAAGGUAUGCUACAAUCUAUACUUCUUUAUUAGAUUUGAUUCAAAUUGAUAGAUUUCGAUGAGAAAGAAACUUUUAUCUUUUCUUUCAGUUAAGGACAGUUGGGACUUCAAUUUGUAAAAGAUGUGAAAUAUUAGAACAAUGACAAUAGAACCGCCAAUCCAUAUGGUUGUAAAUAGAUUUCAACAUAUAUUUAAAUAGUAUUGCAUAUCGUAUGCAUUUAGAACU